rnacentral:rRNA from 1 species
GGGGAGAAUCGGAUGUAACUUUUUCUGUAGAUGUCCGUGGAUAUAUUAUAUGACUGAUUCCAAGUCUGUAUGAGAAAGUUACGCCUAUUUUAAUAAAUGACACCCGAAUGAC